GACGAACGCUGGCGGCGUGCCUAAUACAUGCAAGUCGAGCGGAGCGGCGGACGGGUGAGUAAUGCCUAGGAAUCUGCCUGGUAGUGGGGGAUAACGUCCGGAAACGGGCGCUAAUACCGCAUCCUAUCAGAUGAGCCUAUGUCGGAUUAGCUAGUUGGUGGGGUAAAGGCCUACCAAGGCGACGAUCCGUAACUGUUCUGAGAGGAUGAUCAGUCACACUGGAACUGAGAAAAGGUCCAGACUCCUACGGGAGGCAGCAGUGGGGAAUAUUGGACAAUGGGCGAAAGCAUGAUCCAGCCAUGCCGCGUGUGUGAAGAAGGUCUUCGGAUUGUAAAGCACGUUAAGUUGGGAGGCGUUACCAACAGAAUAAGCACCGGCUAACGUCGUGCCAGCAGCCGCGGUAAUUC
rnacentral:rRNA from 1 species